rnacentral:tRNA from 1 species
AGAUAAAGAAGUAAUAAUAAUUACAAUUAGUUUCGACCUAUUCAUAGAGAAUCAGUCUCCAUAUC